rnacentral:rRNA from 1 species
UGCAGUCGAGCGGUAACAGANUAGAAAGCUUGCUUUUUUGCUGACGAGCGGCGGACGGGUGAGUAAUGCCUGGGAAUAUACCCUGAUGUGGGGGAUAACUAUUGGAAACGAUAGCUAAUACCGCAUAAUCUCUUCGGAGCAAAGAGGGGGACCUUCGGGCCUCUCGCGUCAGGAUUAGCCCAGGUGGGAUUAGCUAGUUGGUGGGGUAAUGGCUCACCAAGGCGACGAUCCCUAGCUGGUCUGAGAGGAUGAUCAGCCACACUGGAACUGAGACACGGUCCAGACUCCUACGGGAGGCAGCAGUGGGGAAUAUUGCACAAUGGGGGAAACCCUGAUGCAGCCAUGCCGCGUGUAUGAAGAAGGCCUUCGGGUUGUAAAGUACUUUCAGUUGUGAGGAAGGCGUUAAAGUUAAUAGCUUNACNGUUUGACGUUAGCAACAGAAGAAGCACCGGCUAACUCCGUGCCAGCAGCCGCGGUAAUACGGAGGGUGCGAGCGUUAAUCGGAAUUACUGGGCGUAAAGCGCAUGCAGGCGGUCUUGUUAAGCACAG